rnacentral:rRNA from 1 species
UACAGAGGUCCCAAGCGUUGUUCGGAUUCACUGGGCGUAAAGGGUGCGCAGGUGGGCUGGUAAGUUCGAUGUGAAAGCCCCGGGCUUAACCCGGGAAAGGCAUUGGAUACUACUGGUCUGGAGGAUUGGAGGGGGGACUGGAAUUCUUGGUGUAGCAGUGAAAUGCGUAGAUAUCAAGAGGAACACCAGUGGCGAAGGCGAGUCCCUGGACAAUACCUGACACUGAGGCACGAAAGCUAGGGGAGCGAAUGGG